GAGGGUAGAGCUCAGUGGUAGAGUGCGUGCUUAGCAUGCACAAGGUCCUGGGUUCAGUCACCAGUACCUCCA
rnacentral:tRNA from 1 species